GAUGAACGCUGGCGGCGUGCCUAAUACAUGCAAGUCGAGCGAACAGACGAGGAGCUUGCUCCUCUGAUGUUAGCGGCGGACGGGUGAGUAACACGUGGAUAACCUACCUAUAAGACUGGGAUAACUUCGGGAAACCGGAGCUAAUACCGGAUAAUAUAUUGAACCGCAUGGUUCAAUAGUGAAAGACGGUUUUGCUGUCACUUAUAGAUGGAUCCGCGCCGCAUUAGCUAGUUGGUAAGGUAACGGCUUACCAAGGCGACGAUGCAUAGCCGACCUGAGAGGGUGAUCGGCCACACUGGAACUGAGACACGGUCCAGACUCCUACGGGAGGCAGCAGUAGGGAAUCUUCCGCAAUGGGCGAAAGCCUGACGGAGCAACGCCGCGUGAGUGAUGAAGGUCUUCGGAUCGUAAAACUCUGUUAUUAGGGAAGAACAAAUGUGUAAGUAACUAUGCACGUCUUGACGGUACCUAAUCAGAAAGCCACGGCUAACUACGUG
rnacentral:rRNA from 1 species